AGGACACUCGAAGAGAUAAGAUGCAGCCAACUGAUGCAGAGAAAAGUGAUAUAGCGCCAUCAGGCAGCAAUUACAGGGCACAAAAAGGGAAUGAUCAAGAAAUAAGUGUUGCAGAAAAGAAAGGGAAUCAGAAAGAUAAGGUGUCUCGGUUGGGUAGGACGUCACCCGUCUCAGAAACAGUUAAUGCCCAAAGUAUAGAGGUCCGUGUACCAGAACCGUCACUCCCAGAGAGAAGGUAAAGACUUUAUUGUCUGUUUCAAUAUUUUCAGUAGCAGAAACAAGAAUUUUC